rnacentral:lncRNA from 1 species
CACCAGCAGCAUAUGGAGGUUCCCAGGCUAGGCAUCUAAUCGGAGCUGUGGCUGCCAGCCUAUGCCAGAGCCAUAGCAACACCAGAUCCGAGCCUCAUCGUCAACCUACACCACAGCUCAUGGCAACACCAGAUCCUUAACCCACUGAGUGAGGCCAGGAUUGGAACCCGUAACCUCACAGUUCCUAGUUGGAUUCAUUUCUGCUGCGCCAUGAUGGACCUUGUACAGUGAAAUGUUUUUUCUCGAAAAAAAAAAAAAUCAAUUGUUAUUUUGUCCCUCGUAUUCAAUCUGCUUUCAUUUUAGCUCUUUCUGCCUCGCCAACCCACCCCCGACCCCUACCCCUGCCUUGCCUCUUUCCCCUCAAUCUCUUGUUCUUUUUCUCUAAUCUUAUAUUGCUCAUUGCACUUUUGAGAAAAGUUAUUUUACCACUCCUUUCUCCAAGGAACGCUUUCCUCAGAGAAAGUCACAUGAUACCUUCUUCCUUUUAUUCUUCCCUUCUUGUUCCCCAUCCAUGUCCCCACCACCUCAGAACUUCUAGUUCCCACGACAAUUUCAAAUAUAGCCUAUUUUGCUGUUCCUCCUACCAGGGAGCUUAAAAUGCCUCUAAUUACACCGUUUUCCCCAUCUCUCCUCUUCUUUGUAAUUUAGAUGCAGCACAGCAGUUCAGUUUGCCUGACUCUCCUCUCUGAUUUGUCAUGUUAGUUUGAUGGGUUUCUGUCUUAUGUGAGUCUUGCCCCUAAAUAAAGGCCCAGCACCCCCAUCUGUGUUUAAAAAAACCGCUUCACAGGCAAAACCAAAGGGCCACAGAGCUCCAGUCACAAUAGGCUUUGAUAUUCAACCAGACCCAGGUUGCUAUUCAACUCUUGGUUGAUAAAGAAAUUUCAGUCUUAUUUACCUAAAAAUUUUCCUUCUGCUGAUAAGAAUGCAAGUACUUAUUUCCACCUGGAUGUGCCCACAAACGAAAAGUAAUAUAAUCCUAUGGUUUAACCAUUUCCAUUGGUCCAGAGUAGUUUCCUUCAAAAAGAGUGGGAUCUCAGCAAAUCCACUGUGAAGUUGUGGUGAGAAAAGAACAAUAAACAUAUGUGGCAGGACAGUAUUUUGAACAUUAACUGAUACCCCCUCUUUCCUAUCUAUUCUUUCCUGUUAUCUCUACCCCUCCCCAUACCCUUUCCCUUUAGGCUACUAAUUAUUUCGCUUUUAUUACUCAAGGAAAAAAAAUGAAAGAAAGCACAGAAUUGAUUCCUGAUAUUUUUACAUUUCAAAAGAGACUUCAAAACUGUAAGCAGGGGAGAGUUUAAGAGAAAAGUCUACUGAAGGCAAAAGAUUAAGCUUUUGAAAUGUCAAAGCCAAUGCCUGGAAAAGACUCAAGACUCGGAUAGUGUACAGAAUGUUAGAGUCAGACUCUUCUGUUUCCUGCGACUAGGAAGGGUCUGGAUCCAGGAGAGCCAGUGAGGAAGCUAGCAGUGAGCAGACUUCAGGGUUUCAGAGACAGUGGUCUGGUCUGUGAGGUAUACAUCUUGCCAGAGAGCACAGGGGAUGGUGAGUCCCACAAGCUGAGGGUAAGGCAAUGAGAUCCCAGAGUUCUCAUCCCCUGCCAGCAAGAAGCAGAAGCAGAAGCAGAAGGCAUGUCUGGGAGAGAACUGGGGUAGCUGGGCCCAAGGUACCUCCAGGGCAUAAUUCUAGGGACGUAGUGGGAAGAGAAAAAUCUUUGUUCUCCCUGUGUGUGUGCCUCUCUCUGUAUCCAAAUUUUCCCUUUUAAUAAGAAUAGCAGGGAGUUCCCAUUGUGGCUCAGCAGGAACACCAGACAUACCAGAUUAGUGCCUGUGCUAAGGGUCUCAUUUUAACUUUUUUUCUUUUUAGGGCCACACCCACAGCAUAUGGAAGUUCCCAGGCUAAAAGUUGAAUUGGAGUUGCAGGUGCUGGCCUACACCACAGCCACAGCAACGCCAGAUCUGACCUGCAUCUGCGACCUAUACCACACCUCAAAGCAAUGCCAGAU